rnacentral:misc_RNA from 1 species
UCCCCGCUGGUGCGGCGACGUCCUCCCUCGCACUCCUCCUCAGUCGUUGGCGCAAGAGCAACGUCACCGGCCUUGGCCGCCCGCGGGUUUCCUGUGUUGCAUACCUACCGGAAGGAAUUGGGUCGUCACAACGUUGGACGUUCUCCCGGCGCCGCCCCCUCGCGGRCAGCGGCGCGGGGUGAACCGCGAAGGCGGGUUCGUGUUCCGGGGUGCGGCCGUGYAGUGCGUCGCGCCCCGGCCCAUGAGCCGCCGCCUGAGCUCUCGGAUGCGGAACACCGGGAGGGCAGGAGGCGUGCGGCCUCCGUUUGCCCGAGCACGGCGUCAAUCGCCCGCAUCGAACGACCGCCGUCGUCGCGUCGGGACGAGCGGMCCCCGGGCCUGCCGGCCUCGUGCGACGCCGGCGUCGGUUA